UCGUAGAAUAGGAAUGUUUUUGUUGAUAUAUACAUUUCUUUAUCUAGUAACGUGUAAUCGUUAACUGCGUAGCUGCUUGUGCCACCGGCUCUUGUGUCCCCGCUUCCCUCGCCACUUUGGAAGUUGCUAUGCGAAACUAAGGUACAAGGAGUCAUUUAGUCGUCUCAUUUCGUACCGAUAACGUGGAUAGCGUUGCGUCAGAGUCAGUGCAUCAAGAAGACAAAGCCUCUGCAGGAGCUCAAGAAUACAUAUCACAGCUUGAACUUCUUUGUCUUCUUUGGGAAUGCUCCAACGGUGGCUCAAAAGCCAAGAAUAUUUUUCAUAACCUCCAUUUCCACCAUUGGAUUUUCGACAGUUCCUGCCUGAUGUUAGUCUUUGAAAUGAUAUUUGCUGAGAUAAUGCAGUGUCGAUGGGAACGUUUUCCGCUUCUCCGCUUCUAAUGCUCGGGUGUUGGAGGCAUCUCGGGACGUUCUCUCUAGUGGAGGCUCUUGCGCCCUGGUGAUAUGUGUGAGAACCGUGGAGGUGAACCUCUGAUCGGGUAGACGCGUUUUCGAGUGACCAACCUGCUUCAGGGAAUUUCAUUCGAAUAAUCGACGGUAAAGCUGACACGAAUGGAACGUGUCAUCGCGUC